ensembl:lncRNA
AGGGUGGCCCGAGCAGGGUCAUCACAGCAUUCCACAGAGCAGGCAGCCCCCCAGGCUCGUCUCUGAAGCUGUCUCUGUAAAGCUAGGUUUCAGAUGAGAGUGAGCCAGUGACAGCAGAGUGAUGCAAUAUCUUAUAGCUGAGGAAGGAAAUAAACCCCAGCAGAAGCCAAGCGAGUCUUCCAUUUGCUUCUGGAUGGUGGUUGUGGUUGGGACGCGAACUCCAGGCAUGAGUUGCUGGAGGAAGCCGGGAGACAAGGCGUGCCUUCGCACAGUGGGACGGGCCAACAGUUGUGGUCUGGCUGGAGCUCUGGGUCGGGAUGCCGGCCUGGUAGGUGGCUGCUUGCCGAGCCAACGUGAAGAGCGGCGUCAUCAUGUCUGCCCUGUCACACGGAGAUCCAGCGUGAGAUCAGCAUCAGCAACCCGCCGCAUCGGCUGAAGCUGCGCCUGGCGAUCCAGGAGAUCAUGUCCCUGACAGGCCCCUAGCCCCUCCCACGUCCAGAACGGUGCACCUCCCUCCUUCAGUAGGGAGAGAUAGCACC